rnacentral:lncRNA from 1 species
ACCAACUCAGCGGCAUCCUUCUUCAUAGUGGGCCAGUAGUAGCCCUGUCGCAGGACUUUGUAAGCUAAGGACUUGCCCCCCAAGUGAUCGCCACAGAUUCCUUCAUGUACUUCCCUGAGGGCAUAGUCCGCGUCAGUCGGCCCCAGGCACUUCAGCAGGGGAAAGGAGAACGACCUUUUGUAUAAUCGGCCGUCGAUCAUCACAUAUUGGGAAGUCGCCCACCGGAGUCGCCUGGCUUCUGCAGGGUCUUCGGGG